AAUGAACGUUGGCGGCGUGGAUUAGGCAUGCAAGUCGAGCGCUCAUAGCAAUAUGGGAGCGGCGAACGGCGUAGUAAUAUGUAGGAACGUACCCUCGGGUCGGGGAUAGCCAUGGGAAACUGUGGGUAAUACCCGAUAAUCUCUGCGGAGCAAAGGUGUGAUUCCGCCUGAGGAGCGGCCUACACGAUAUUAGCUAGUUGGUAGGGUAAUGGCCUACCAAGGCUACGAUGUCUAGGGGGUGUGAGAGCAUGGCCCCCACGACCGGAACUGAGAUACUGUCCGGACACCUACGGUGGGCUGCAGUCGAGAAUCUUCCGCCAAUGGACGAAAGUACUGACGGAGCGACGCCGCGUGCGGAGUGAAGG
rnacentral:rRNA from 1 species